rnacentral:rRNA from 1 species
GACGAACGCUGGCGGCGCGCCUAACACAUGCAAGUCGAACGGAGCGUACGAGUGGAUCCCUUCGGGGUGACGCAUGUAUUGCUUAGUGGCGAACGGGUGAGUAACACGUGAGUAACCUGCCUUAGAGUGGGGGACAACAUUCGGAAACGGAUGCUAAUACCGCAUAAGACCACAGUACCGCAUGGUACAGUGGCCAAAGGAGCAAUUCGCUCUUAGAUGGACUCGCGUCUGAUUAGAUAGUUGGUGGGGUAAUGGCUCACCAAGUCUGCGAUCAGUAGCCGGACUGAGAGGUUGAUCGGCCACAUUGGGACUGAGACACGGCCCAGACUCCUACGGGAGGCAGCAGUGGGGAAUAUUGCACAAUGGGCGAAAGCCUGAUGCAGCGACGCCGCGUGAGGGAAGAAGGUUUUCGGAUUGUAAACCUCUGUCUUCGGGGACGAAUUUUGACGGUACCCGAGGAGGAAGCCACGGCUAACUACGUG